UACGUAGGCAGCAAGCGUUGUUCGGAGUUACUGGGCGUAAAGGGUGCGUAGGCGGCCCUGUAAGUAUGGUGUGAAAUCUCCCGGCUUAACUGGGAGGGUGCGCUAUAGACUGCGGGGCUCGAGUGUGGGAGAGGAAAGUGGAAUUCCUGGUGUAGCGGUGAAAUGCGUAGAUAUCAGGAGGAACACCGGUGGCGAAGGCGGGUCUCUGGGCCGAUACUGACGCUGGAGGAGCGAAAGCGUGGGGAGCGAACAGG
rnacentral:rRNA from 1 species